GGGCUGGAGAGAGGCACAUAUACUAAAAUUGUAAUGAUACAGAGAAGAUUAGCAUGGCCCCUGCACAAGGAUGACACACAAAUUAGUGAAGCGUUCCUCCAUCAU